rnacentral:rRNA from 1 species
UACGGGGGGGGCAAGCGUUGUUCGGAAUUACUGGGCGUAAAGGGCUCGUAGGCGGCCAACUAAGUCGGAUGUGAAAUCCCCAGGCUCAACCUGGGAACUGCAUCCGAUACUGGAUGGCUUGAAUUCGGGAGAGGGAUGCAGAAUUCCAGGUGUAGCGGUGAAAUGCGUAGAUAUCUGGAGGAAUACCGGUGGCGAAGGCGGCAUCCUGGACCGACACCGACGCUGAGGCACGAAAGCUAGGGGAGCAAACAGG